rnacentral:rRNA from 1 species
CACAGUACGGGCAAGCGGCCGGGGUAACACGUAGGGGCCAAGGGUUGUCCGGAAUUAUUAGGCGUAAAGAGCUCGUAGGCGGCUCGGUAAGUCAGGGGUGAAACCUCCAGGCUCAACCUGGAGACGCCACCUGAUACUGCUGUGGCUAGAGUCCGGUAGGGGAGCGUGGAAUUCCUGGGGUAGCGGUGAAAUGCGCAGAUAUCAGGAGGAACACCAGCGGCGAAGGCGGCGCUCUGGGCCGGAACUGACGCUGAGGAGCGAAAGCGUGGGUAGCAAACAGGAUUAGAUACCCCGGUAGUC